rnacentral:rRNA from 1 species
UACAGAGGUCUCGAGCGUUAAUCGGAAUCACUGGGCUUAAAGGGUGCGUAGGCGGUUCCGUAAGUGCCUUGUGAAAUCCCAUGGCUCAACCAUGGAAUUGCUCGGUAGACUGCGGAACUUGAGGUUGGUAGGGGUCGCUGGAACUCUAGGUGGAGCGGUGAAAUGCGUAGAUAUCUAGAGGAACGCCAAAGGUGAAGACAGGCGACUGGGCCAAUUCUGACGCUGAGGCACGAAAGCGUGGGGAGCGAACGGG